rnacentral:misc_RNA from 1 species
GAUGAAGAACGUAGCAAAAUGCGAUAAGUAAUGUGAAUUGCAGAAUUCAGUGACUCAUCGAAUCUUUGAACGCACAUUGCGCCCGCCAGUAUUCUGGCGGGCAUGCCUGUUCGAGCGUCAUUUCAACCCUCAAGCACAGCUUGGUGUUGGGACUCGCGUUAAUUCGCGUUCCCCAAAUUGAUUGGCGGUCACGUCGAGCUUCCAUAGCGUAGUAGUAAAACCCUCGUUACUGGUAAUCGUCGCGGCCACGCCGUUAAACCCCAACUUCUGAAUGUUGACCUCGGAUCAGGUAGGAAUACCCGCUGAACUUAAGCAUAUCAAUAAGCGGAGGA